UAGGAAGCAAGGACAACAGGUGCACCAUUUACUGCUGACUCAUCUACCCUCACAUAUGAUGUUACAUAAAUGUAUACAUUAUAUAAUUAAAACGUACACAGAUCCUAGGUCAAUGAUACGCCAAACAGCAAACUUUUCUUUGUGGCAUAUCCCUUCACAAAUCCAACAAACACAAGAUGCUCUACAUAAACCAAGUCUCAUUAUCAGCCUUAGGGAGUGUUGUUACCCUGACAGGAAUUGAACCCAGGAACCUAGGAUUUGAAGGCAAGCACCUUAAUCACAAAGCUAUACAACUCCACUCCCUCCUUGUCAUCAUCACUGCAUUUGCUGUUGUCAUCAUCAGGGGCUGAUCUGAUGGGGAGGGGGAGUGCAGAACAGUUUCAGAAAAGGUACAACUACAAUUUGAUAAUGCACUCUAUCACAUCAUCUAACUGUUGAAUUUUCAAGGGAGUUGUUGACAUUGGAAGGAAUGCAACAAGAGGAAGCAGGCAAAUCGUAUGGGCAAAACGCCAGCAAUCUACAAUGCGUAAGAAACGCCAGUGUACGUGACUAUCUAAGCCUCGUGCUUACAUCUGUCAAUUGGAUGCACAGUUAAUCAAAGAUAAUUAGGGAAUUGUUUAAUUAAUAUCACAAUUUCGAAGGACAAUUAUAAAGUUAUCUGAUUCGGAUCUGAAUAACCUACUUUUUGUUGUUAUUGUGAUGAAUUAUUUGUUAAAGUUCAUCAUUAGUUGCUGAAUAAAGGGGACAGGAAGUCAGCAUUAACCAAAAAAUUAAAAAUAUUAAUUUUUAAAUGCAAGAAAUCCUUAUGAAAUUUCUAUUGUUCUUUGCUUUUUUUUAAGAUGCCUAUAUUUCCCACUUUCAAAAGGCUAAAUACCAACCUGCAGAAAUCAAAAUAUCCUGUUACGCAAUAAGUCUAAGCCUAGCAUAGGCUUAGAUGCGACUUUAGUUAAGAAACAAGAUAAAUUUAUUGUCUGAAUGGAAAUAGUACUGUAUUUUUUAACUUAACA